UUCCAGAAUAUAAAGGAAGAGAUUUUUAUAUUUCAGGAGAAAGCUAUGCUGGGCAUUAUGUUCCUCAGCUAAGUCAAGCUAUUGUGAGGCACAACCAUGGUUUGAAGAAGCAAGUGAUCAAUUUAAAAGGUUUCAUGGUUGGAAAUGCUUUGACUGAUGACUAUAAUGAUCACUUAGGACUAUUUCAAUUCAUGUGGUCAGCCGGAAUGAUUUCUGACCAAACAUACAAGCAGGCGAAUGCUUUGUGCCACGACCAAUCAUAUUUUAGACCCUCAGAGCAGUGUGAUAAGAUUCUUGAACAGGCUAAUGAAGAAAUCGGAAAUAUUGAUAGCUACAGCAUCUUCACUCCAGCAUGCACAGCUAAGUUUAGUAUACUAAACCACUUGCUCAGAAAGAGCAACAGCGUAGGCCAUCUCAG
rnacentral:misc_RNA from 1 species